UGGGGAAUAUUGCACAAUGGGCGCCAGCCUGAUGCAGCCAUGCCGCGUGUGUGAAGAAGGCCUUCGGGUUGUAAAGCACUUUCAGCGGGGAGGAAGGCGAUAAGGUUAAUAACCUUGUCGAUUGACGUUACCCGCAGAAGAAGCACCGGCUAACUCCGUGCCAGCAGCCGCGGUAAUACGGAGGGUGCAAGCGUUAAUCGGAAUUACUGGGCGUAAAGCGCACGCAGGCGGUCUGUCAAGUCGGAUGUGAAAUCCCCGGGCUCAACCUGGGAACUGCAUUCGAAACUGGCAGGCUAGAGUCUUGUAGAGGGGGGUAGAAUUCCAGGUGUAGCGGUGAAAUGCGUAGAGAUCUGGAGGAAUACCGGUGGCGAAGGCGGCCCCCUGGACAAAGACUGACGCUCAGGUGCGAAAGCGUGGGGAGCAAACAGG
rnacentral:rRNA from 1 species